GACGAACGCUGGCGGCGUGCCUAAUACAUGCAAGUAGAACGCUGAAGCGAGGAGCUUGCUCUUCUUGGAUGAGUUGCGAACGGGUGAGUAACGCGUAGGUAACCUGCCUUGUAGCGGGGGAUAACUAUUGGAAACGAUAGCUAAUACCGCAUAACAAUGGAUGACACAUGUCAUUUAUUUGAAAGGGGCAAUUGUUCCACUACAAGAUGGACCUGCGUUGUAUUAGCUAGUAGGUGAGGUAAUGGCUCACCUAGGCGACGAUACAUAGCCGACCUGAGAGGGUGAUCCGCCACCCUGGGACUGAGACACCGCCCAGACUCCUACGGGAGGCAGCCGUAGGGAAUCUUCGGCAAUGGGGGCAACCCUGACCGAGCAACGCCGCGUGAGUGAAGAAGGGUUUCGGAUCGUAAAGCUCUGUUGUAAGUCAAGAAUGGGUGUGAGAGUGGAAAGUUCACACUGUGACGGUAGCUUACCAGAAAGGGACGGCUAACUACGUG
rnacentral:rRNA from 1 species